rnacentral:rRNA from 1 species
UUAGAUCAGAAGCGAGAAUGUUGACAUGAGUAGCGAUAAAGAGGGUGAGAGACCCUCUCGCCGUAAGCCCAAGGGCUCCUGCUUAAAGCUAAUCUGAGCAGGGUAAGCCGGCCCCUAAGGCGAGGCCGAAAGGCGUAGUCGAUGGGAACCAGGUUAAUAUUCCUGGGCCAGGAGGAAGUGACGGAUCUCGAAGGUAGUUUGCCCUUAUCGGAUUGGGUGGGCUGCUCAGAGGUUCCAGGAAAUAGCCCUCCAUCAGACCGUACCCUAAACCGACACAGGUGGACUGGUAGAGUAUACCAAGGCGCUUGAGAGAACCACGUUAAAGGAACUCGGCAAAAUGCCUCCGUAAGUUCGCGAGAAGGAGGCCCCAUAUGUGCGCAAGCAUGUGUGGGGGGCACAAACUAGGGGGUGGCGACUGUUUACUUAAAACACAGGGCUGUGCGAAGCCGUAAGGCGACGUAUACAGUCUGACGCCUGCCCGGUGCUGGAAGGUUAAAAGGAGGGGUGCAAGCUCUGAAUUGAAGCCCCAGUAAACGGCGGCCGUAACUAUAACGGUCCUAAGGUAGCGAAAUUCCUUGUCGGGUAAGUUCCGACCUGCACGAAUGGCGUAACGAUCUCCCCGCUGUCUCUAACGUGGACUCAGCGAAAUUGAACUGUGUGUCAAGAUGCACACUACCCGCGGUUAGACGGAAAGACCCCAUGCACCUUUACUCCAGCUUUGCACUGGUAUCAGGAUUGUGAUGUGCAGGAUAGGUGGUAGGCAUCGAAGCGGGGACGCCAGUUCUCGUGGAGCCUCCCUUGAGAUACCACCCUUCGCCAUCUUGAUAUCUAACCGCGGCCCGUUAUCCGGGUCCGGGACCCUGCAUGGUGGGGAGUUUGACUGGGGCGGUCGCCUCCCAAACAGUAACGGAGGCGCGCGAAGGUAGGCUCAGACCGGUCGGAAAUCGGUCGUUGAGUGCAAUGGCAGAAGCCUGCCUGACUGCAAGUCUGACAAGACGAGCAGAGACGAAAGUCGGUCAUAGUGAUCCGGUGGUCCCAAGUGGGAGGGCCAUCGCUCAACGGAUAAAAGGUACGCUGGGGAUAACAGGCUGAUGAUGCCCAAGAGUCCAUAUCGACGGCAUCGUUUGGCACCUCGAUGUCGGCUCAUCUCAUCCUGGGGCUGGAGCAGGUCCCAAGGGUAUGGCUGUUCGCCAUUUAAAGAGGUACGUGAGCUGGGUUUAGAACGUCGUGAGACAGUUCGGUCCCUAUCUGCCGUGGGUGUAGGAGACUUGAGAAGAGUUGCCCCUAGUACGAGAGGACCGGGGUGAACGAACCACUGGUGGACCAGUUGUCGUGCCAACGGCAGUGCUGGGUAGCUAUGUUCGGACAGGAUAACCGCUGAAGGCAUCUAAGCGGGAAGCCCCCUUCAAAACAAGGUCUCCCUUGAGAGCCGUGGAAGACCACCACGUCGAUAGGCCGGAGGUGUAAGUGCAGCAAUGCAUUCAGCUGACCGGUACUAAUUGCUC